GACCACCAGGGUGAACUGUUGCUUUAGCCGCAGCGUAUCUGCCCACGAAAGAGGACUGUCGCCCAGAGCGGCAGGUGGGUGGUGUGUCCCUCGUAAAAUAACCGGAAGCGCUAGUCACUGUCUGUCAGUGGCGACACCCUCAAAUUGCGGGGACAGCCUAAAGGCGUUCGAGUACGAAACAGCGGGAAACCAGCUGGCCGGCAACUGGCGGACGUAAAAACCUCAGCGCAUGCUACAAUGGCCGAUCCGCAGCCGAGCCCCUAAGGGUAGUCCUACCUAGGGGGAAGGUUCAGAGACUUGACGGGGGUGGCCCCUCUGCGGAGGGGCUAAGAUAAAGUCCGAGCCCGGGGCGAGAGCCCCGGGAGGUUGGUGCUCUGCCAACUGAAAAAUGGGAGCCUGCGGCUUAAUUUGACUCAACACGGGGAAACUCACCAGGUUUGGACUUGUUCUGCUAGUGCUAAUCUUUACCCACGCGGGGGAAGCUUUAAGCCCCUACUCGAGGCGUUGUAAGUCUUUAAAGACUUGGUUAGUGCGACACCAGCUGGUACAGGGGACGUUCCCUCACGGGCCGACCUUGGAACCCCCAGCAGACACAAC
rnacentral:rRNA from 1 species